rnacentral:rRNA from 1 species
GGGGAAUNUUGGACAAUGGGGGCAACCCUGAUCCAGCAAUGCCGCGUGAGUGAAGAAGGCCUUCGGGUUGUAAAGCUCUUUUGUCAGGGAAGAAACGGUAGUAGCNAAUAACUAUUACUAAUGACGGUACCUGAAGAAUAAGCACCGGCUAACUACGUGCCAGCAGCCGCGGUAAUACGUAGGGUGCAAGCGUUAAUCGGAAUUACUGGGCGUAAAGCGUGCGCAGGCGGUUGUGUAAGUCAGAUGUGAAAUCCCCGGGCUCAACCUGGGAAUUGCAUUUGAGACUGCACGGCUAGAGUGUGUCAGAGGGGGGUAGAAUUCCACGUGUAGCAGUGAAAUGCGUAGAUAUGUGGAGGAAUACCGAUGGCGAAGGCAGCCCCCUGGGAUAACACUGACGCUCAUGCACGAAAGCGUGGGGAGCAAACAGGAUUAGAUACCCUGGUAGUCCACGCCCUAAACGAUGUCUACUAGUUGUCGGGUCUUAAUUGACUUGGUAACGCAGCUAACGCGU